UGGGGAAUAUUGGGCAAUGGAGGCAACUCUGACCCAGCCAUGCCGCGUGGGUGACGAAGGUCUUCGGAUUGUAAAGCCCUUUCGGCGGGGACGAUGAUGACGGUACCCGCAGAAGAAGCCCCGGCUAACUUCGUGCCAGCAGCCGCGGUAAUACGGAGGGUGCGAGCGUUAUCCGGAUUUACUGGGUUUAAAGGGUGCGUAGGUGGGCUUAUAAGUCAGUGGUGAAAUCUCCGAGCUUAACUUGGAAACUGCCGUUGAUACUAUAGGUCUUGAAUUAUCUGGAGGUAAGCGGAAUAUGUCAUGUAGCGGUGAAAUGCUUAGAUAUGACAUAGAACACCAAUUGCGAAGGCAGCUUACUACAUAUAAAUUGACGCUGAGGCACGAAAGCGUGGGGAUCAAACA
rnacentral:rRNA from 1 species